UCAUUAGUCUUUUAAUUGAAGGCUUGUAUGAAAGGUUGGACGAAAAAUGGACUGUUUCAAAUAAAAAGAUUGAAUUUAACUUUUAAGUGAAAAGGCUUAAAUAAAUUAAAAAGACGAUAAGACCCUAUAAAUCUUUACAUUUGUUAUUAUAGGUUUUGGAUUGUGUGUGUAAAAAAAAAUAUAAUAAAAAUGUUGUGUUGGGGCAACAGUGAUAUAGUAAUAUUAAUUGUUAAAAAUAAAAACAAAUAUACUUGUUAAAUAAAGAUCCUUUUUAAAGAUUUAAAGAUUAAGUUACUUUAGGGAUAACAGCGUUAUUUUUUCUGAGAGUUCUUAUCGAAGAAAAAGAUUGCGACCUCGAUGUUGAAUUAAAAAUUCUUUUUAAUGCAGCAGUUAAAA
rnacentral:rRNA from 1 species